AACGAACGCUGGCGGCAUGCCUAACACAUGCAAGUCGAACGAUGCCUUCGGGCAUAGUGGCGCACGGGUGCGUAACGCGUGGGAAUCUGCCCUUGGGUUCGGAAUAACUCAGAGAAAUUUGAGCUAAUACCGGAUGAUGACGUAAGUCCAAAGAUUUAUCGCCCAAGGAUGAGCCCGCGUAGGAUUAGCUAGUUGGUGGGGUAAAGCCUACAAGGCGACGAUCUUUAGCUGGUCUGAGAGGAUGAUCAGCCACACUGGGACUGAGACACGGCCCAGACUCCUACGGGAGGCAGCAGUGGGGAAUAUUGGACAAUGGGCGAAAGCCUGAUCCAGCAAUGCCGCGUGAGUGAUGAAGGCCUUAGGGUUGUAAAGGCUCUUUUACCAGGGUAUGAUAAUGACAGUACCUGGAGAAUAAG
rnacentral:rRNA from 1 species